rnacentral:pre_miRNA from 1 species
UUUUGCAGUAUGUUCCUGUAUAAGAACAUAAGCGUAUUGGGAACAUUUGGCAUACAU